rnacentral:tRNA from 1 species
AGGGGUGUAGCUUAGUGGCAGAGCACUUGCCACUUAUCUAUUAUGAAAAGCCCUGGGUUUGAUUCCCAGCACCCUCA